UAUUCUGCCCUACGGGGAAGGAUGAGAAGCUUCGACUAAGGUUCGACUCGAGCGCCAGCGAGAAA
rnacentral:sRNA from 1 species